rfam:Myotis davidii contig107193, whole genome shotgun sequence.
UGCAGUUCUCAGGUGAAUCACCCUGGAAUCGGGCUCCCUCCUCUCUGAUUCCAGUUGUAUCACCUGAGAACACCC